UGGAAGGGAGAGAGCCGGGGUCGCUGAGCGCGUCAGCCGGGUUUAAAACGGCAGAUUCGUUCGUUCUGUUUUAAGCCCGACCAUUUUAAAAGCAAAUAGGAAUUAUAAUAAAUCACCUGGGGUUGGAUUGUGAUCUAAGAUUAACAGAAGUUCCAGGUGGUUGGAGACAAUUGUAAUAGGAUGUCAACUGGGAUGUUCCCCUGGGCUCUGGAAUUUUUCAAGCCUGAAAACUCCAAGACGAGAGAUGUCAUUCCCAAGAGGCAGCCGAGGAGCCCUGCCAAGGAGCCAGACAGUGGGUGAUGUGCAGGGAAGGGGGGCAAAGGAGGAGGCUGGAGGAAGAAUGGCUCCUUUCCUGAUCAUAGGUGGAUUGUUCACUUGGCGCUGCUCUUCUAUGGUGACCAAAGUGCUUCUUGAACUCAGCAAGAAUAAGCCUGCGGUUUUUAGGGAAAAGAAAUGCUUCAAAUUCUGACUACACAGACCUGUAUGAGCAAUGCAUUAGCGCUGUUUGGUUUGUGGGUUUUUGUAUAUAUUAACAGGUUUGGAUUACAAUAAUUCCUCCCAUUUGUAUAAGGUUUCACAGUUUUAAAAGCACUUUAUGCUCUUAAUCCUCACAAUAAACACUGAUGGAAGGGUA